rnacentral:rRNA from 1 species
UACGUAGGGUGCGAGCGUUGUCCGGAAUUAUUGGGCGUAAAGAGCUCGUAGGCGGUGUGUCACGUCGGCCGUGAAAACCUGCAGCUUAACUGUGGGCGUGCGGUCGAUACGGGCAUCACUGGAGUUCGGCAGGGGAGACUGGAAUUCCUGGUGUAGCGGUGAAAUGCGCAGAUAUCAGGAGGAACACCGGUGGCGAAGGCGGGUCUCUGGGCAACAACUGACGCUGAGGAGCGAAAGUGUGGGGAGCGAACAGG